rnacentral:lncRNA from 1 species
GGUUUGAUGAAGAUCAGUGUUGCAAAGAGGUAGCAAAUUUAAUACAUGCAAGAAAUAGGAAUGGUAAAAGGUGGAAGGAGGGGCUACAAAUGCUCAACUUUUAUCCUUAGUUUUUUUGAUCAUGAACUACUAGUCGCAUUGUAUAUGGAUAUAAGUAGUUAGAGUUGAGAAUAGUUAGAAUGGUAAUGUAAAUGAGUAGUAGGAGUCCAUGCUACUACCAUAGGAAUACAUUGUAUAUUUUUCGAAAUCAAUAUAAUUUGACAGUUAAGCUAAA